AUUGAACGCUGGCGGCAUGCUUUACACAUGCAAGUCGAACGGUAACAGUUUGCUUGCAGCGCUGACGGGUGGCGAACUGGAGAGGAAUGCGUCGGUAAGUGCGGAGUAGAGUGUGAUAACGCAGCGAAAGGUGUGCUAAUGUCGCAUCAGUACUUAGGGAGAGAAUGGAGGGUGUUCCGGACUCAUGCUAGUGGAGGGACUGACGGCGGAUUAGCUAGUAGGCGAGGUAAAGGCCCACCAAGGCGACGAUCAGUAGCGGGUCUGAGAGGAUGAUCCGCCACACUGGGACUGAGACACGGCCCAGACUCCUGCGGGAGGCAGCAGUGGGGAAUUUUCGACAACGGGCGAAAGCCUGAUCCAGCCAUGCCGCGUGUCUGAAGAAGGCCUUCGGGUUGUAAAGGACUGUUGUCAGGGAGGAAAUGCCUAGUGCUAAAAACGCAGGGGGAUGACAGUACCUGAAUAAUAAGCACCGGCUAACUACGUGCCAGCCGCCGCAGUAA
rnacentral:rRNA from 1 species